rfam:Terrimicrobium sacchariphilum DNA, scaffold: TSACC_3, strain: NM-5.
GGGGGCGUAUUGGUUUCGACGUGAAGUUUGAUGCCCGGCCCGCAUGCCGAGGAUGAUUCGUUGGCCUCGUUAAAAAUCGGAUCAAACAAAUAAACGCAGAUUACGAAGAUCUCGCUCUCGCGGCCUAACGUGCCGUGACGUGUUUCCGGUGACGCCUGCUAGGCGGAAAUACGACGACAGCAGGCUAGCUCAAGGCUGGGGCGACCGCGGCCAAGAGUGAAUUCGAUUUCGUGGACGCUCAGGAGCGGGUAGCGCGACGACCCGUAGCAUCGCUCCAAAACCUUUGGUCGUCUAAGCAUGUAGAAAGUCGCGCUGAACGCUUCAGGGACAGGGGUUCGACUCCCCUCGCCUCCAGUU